GCGAAUGGGUGCGUAACACGUAGGUGACCUGCCCGAAAGUGGGGAAUAACAGUCCGAAAGGACUGCUAAUACCGCAUGAGUUGCCUUUAGAGAAAGGUGCGCUUUCGGAGGGGCCUGCGGCCCAUCAGCUAGUUGGUAGGGUAAUGGCCUACCAAGGCAACGACGGGUAGGGGACCUGAGAGGGUGACCCCCCACACUGGCACUGACACACGGGCCAGACUCCUACGGGAGGCAGCAGUCGGGAAUAUUGCCCAAUGGACGAAAGUCUGAGGCAGCAACGCCGCGUGCGCGAUGAAGGCCUUCGGGUCGUAAAGCGCUUUUCGGGUGGAUGAGGGACAGUACACCCGGAAUCAGGUACGGCUAACUACGUGCCAGCAGCCGCGGUAAAACGUAGGUACCGAGCGUUAUCCGGAUUUACUGGGCGUAAAGCGUGUUCAGGCGGCUUGACAAGUCGGGCAUGAAAUCCUUCGGCUCAACCGGGGGAGGUUGUCCGAUAC
rnacentral:rRNA from 1 species